rnacentral:misc_RNA from 1 species
UUUCCGUAGGUGAACCUGCGGAAGGAUCAUUAACAUGUCACGCAGUCAUGCUGCCGCAUGAACUGUACAAACCCACUCUGUGUACCUCUCCUGUUGCUUCCGCGGAGCCUGGAGCAUUUCAGAUGAGUUGUCUCUCGCACAGUCAAUUGCUGUGGGGGGUUGGCAACUCUCUGUGACUGCUCUUGAUUCACAGGCCCAGCGGGGUGAUACUUAAUUUCCGAAUUUACUAGUUCAUCUUUCUGAUCUAUGAACCAAAAAAAAAAUUGUUAAAACUUUCAGCAACGGAUCUCUUGGUUCUC